rnacentral:rRNA from 1 species
GACGAACGCUGUCGGCGUGCUUAACACAUGCAAGUCGAACGGAAAGGCCCUGCUUUUGUGGGGUGCUCGAGUGGCGAACGGGUGAGUAACACGUGAGUAACCUGCCCUUGACUUUGGGAUAACUUCAGGAAACUGGGACUAAUACCGGAUAGGAGCUCCUGCUGCAUGGUGGGGGUUGGAAAGUUUCGGCGGUUGGGGAUGGACUCGCGGCUUAUCAGCUUGUUGGUGGGGUAGUGGCUUACCAAGGCUUUGACGGGUAGCCGGCCUGAGAGGGUGACCGGCCACAUUGGGACUGAGAUACGGCCCAGACUCCUACGGGAGGCAGCAGUGGGGAAUAUUGCACAAUGGGCGGAAGCCUGAUGCAGCAACGCCGCGUGCGGGAUGACGGCCUUCGGGUUGUAAACCGCUUUCGCCUGUGACGAAGCGUGAGUGACGGUAAUGGGUAAAGAAGCACCGGCUAACUACGUGCCAGCAGCCGCGGUGAUACGUAGGGUGCGAGCGUUGUCCGGAUUUAUUGGGCGUAAAGGGCUCGUAGGUGGUUGAUCGCGUCGGAAGUGUAAUCUUGGGGCUUAACCCUGAGCGUGCUUUCGAUACGGGUUGACUUGAGGAAGGUAGGGGAGAAUGGAAUUCCUGGUGGAGCGGUGGAAUGCGCAGAUAUCAGGAGGAACACCAGUGGCGAAGGCGGUUCUCUGGGCCUUUCCUGACGCUGAGGAGCGAAAGCGUGGGGAGCGAACAGGCUUAGAUACCCUGGUAGUCCACGCUGUAAACGGUGGGUACUAGGUGUGGGGUCCAUUCCACGGGUUCCGUGCCGUAGCUAACGCUUUAAGUACCCCGCCUGGGGAGUACGGCCGCAAGGCUAAAACUCAAAGGAAUUGACGGGGCCCCGCACAAGCGGCGGAGCAUGCGGAUUAAUUCGAUGCAACGCGUAGAACCUUACCUGGGUUUGACAUGGAUCGGGAGUGCUCAGAGAUGGGUGUGCCUCUUUUGGGGUCGGUUCACAGGUGAUGCAUGGCUGUCGUCAGCUCGUGUCGUGAGAUGUUGGGUUAAGUCCCGCAACGAGCGCAACCCUUGUUCACUGUUGCCAGCACGUUAUGGUGGGGACUCAGUGGAGACCGCCGGGGUCAACUCGGAGGAAGGUGGGGAUGACGUCAAGUCAUCAUGCCCCUUAUGUCCAGGGCUUCACGCAUGCUACAAUGGCUGGUACAGAGAGUGGCGAGCCUGUGAGGGUGAGCGAAUCUCGGAAAGCCGGUCUCAGUUCGGAUUGGGGUCUGCAACUCGACCUCAUGAAGUCGGAGUCGCUAGUAAUCGCAGAUCAGCAACGCUGCGGUGAAUACGUUCCCGGGGCU